rnacentral:tRNA from 1 species
UUCUAAUAUGGCAGAAUAGUGCAUUGGAUUUAAACCCCAAAUAUAAAGUCAUUCUUUUUUUAGAAAA